rnacentral:rRNA from 1 species
ACUCCUACGGGAGGCAGCAGUGAGGAAUUUUGCGCAAUGGCCGCAAGGCUGACGCAGCAACGCCGCGUGGGUGAAGAAGGCCUUCGGGUCGUAAAGCCCUGUCAGGUGGGAAGAACGACACGGGGAGGAAUAUGCUCUGUGAGUGACGGUACCACCAGAGGAAGCACCGGCUAACUCCGUGCCAGCAGCCGCGGUAAUACGGAGGGUGCGAGCGUUAUUCGGAAUUACUGGGCGUAAAGCGCGUGUAGGCGGCCAACCAAGUCUGAUGUGAAAGCCCUGGGCUUAACCUGGGAAGUGCAUUGGAAACUGGCUGGCUUGAGUACUGGAGAGGAAGGGGGAAUUCCCGGUGUAGAGGUGAAAUUCGUAGAGAUCGGGAGGAAUACCAGUGGCGAAGGCGCCCUUCUGGACGGUUACUGACGCUGAGACGCGAAAGCGUGGGGAGCAAACAGGAUUAGAUACCCUGGUAGUC